AGACCCGAAACCCGGUGAUCUAGCCAUGGGCAGGUUGAAGGUUGGGUAACACUAACUGGAGGACCGAACCGACUAAUGUUGAAAAAUUAGCGGAUGACCUGUGGCUGGGGGUGAAAGGCCAAUCAAACCGGGAGAUAGCUGGUUCUCCCCGAAAGCUAUUUAGGUAGCGCCUCGUGAAUUCAUCUCCGGGGGUAGAGCACUGUUUCGGCUAGGGGGCCAUCCCGGCUUACCAACCCGAUGCAAACUGCGAAUACCGGAGAAUGUUAUCACGGGAGACACACGGCGGGUGCUAACGUCCGUCGUGAAGAGGGAAACAACCCAGACCGCCAGCUAAGGUCCCAAAGUCAUGGUUAAGUGGGAAACGAUGUGGGAAGGCCCAGACAGCCAGGAUGUUGGCUUAGAAGCAGCCAUCAUUUAAAGAAAGCGUAAUAGCUCACUGGUCGAGUCGGCCUGCGCGGAAGAUGUAACGGGGCUAAACCAUGCACCGAAGCUGCGGCAGCGAACGUAUCACCCAAGACAACUUUACGGAGUUGACGAUUGACGGAGCGAAGCGACGUCAAAGCGUUCAUUAAAGUCGAGUUGGCUUAGGGAUACGUUCGUUGGGUAGGGGAGCGUUCUGUAAGCCUGUGAAGGUGUGUCGUGAGGCAUGCUGGAGGUAUCAGAAGUGCGAAUGCUGACAUAAGUAACGAUAAAGCGGGUGAAAAGCCCGCUCGCCGGAAGACCAAGGGUUCCUGUCCAACGUUAAUCGGGGCAGGGUGAGUCGACCCCUAAGGCGAGGCCGAAAGGCGUAGUCGAUGGGAAACGGGUUAAUAUUCCCGUACUUGGUGUUACUGCGAAGGGGGGACGGAGAAGGCUAUGUUGGCCGGGCGACGGUUGUCCCGGUUUAAGGGUGUAGGUGUGUGUUCCAGGUAAAUCCGGUUCACUUUAACACUGAGGCGUGACGACGAGGCACUACGGUGCUGAAGCAACAAAUGCCCUGCUUCCAGGAAAAGCCUCUAAGCAUCAGGUAACAUCAAAUCGUACCCCAAACCGACACAGGUGGUCAGGUAGAGAAUACCAAGGCGCUUGAGAGAACUCGGGUGAAGGAACUAGGCAAAAUGGUGCCGUAACUUCGGGAGAAGGCACGCUGACACGUAGGUGAAGUGAUUUACUCAUGGAGCUGAAGUCAGUCG
rnacentral:rRNA from 1 species